rnacentral:rRNA from 1 species
AGAGUUUGAUCCUGGCUCAGGAUGAACGCUAGCGGCAGGCCUAACACAUGCAAGUCGAGGGGCAGCACGGUGUAGCAAUACACUGGUGGCGACCGGCGCACGGGUGCGUAACGCGUAUGCAACCUACCCAUAACAGGGGGAUAACACUGAGAAAUUGGUACUAAUACCCCAUAACAUCAGGACCGGCAUCGGUUCUGGUUGAAAACUCCGGUGGUUAUGGAUGGGCAUGCGUUGUAUUAGCUGGUUGGUGAGGUAACGGCUCACCAAGGCAACGAUACAUAGGGGGACUGAGAGGUUAACCCCCCACAUUGGUACUGAGACACGGACCAAACUCCUACGGGAGGCAGCAGUGAGGAAUAUUGGUCAAUGGACGCAAGUCUGAACCAGCCAUGCCGCGUGCAGGAAGACGGCUCUAUGAGUUGUAAACUGCUUUUGUACGAGGGUAAACGCAGAUACGUGUAUCUGCCUGAAAGUAUCGUACGAAUAAGGAUCGGCUAACUCCGUGCCAGCAGCCGCGGUAAUACGGAGGAUCCAAGCGUUAUCCGGAUUUAUUGGGUUUAAAGGGUGCGUAGGCGGUUUGAUAAGUUAGAGGUGAAAUACCGGUGCUUAACACCGGAACUGCCUCUAAUACUGUUGAACUAGAGAGUAGUUGCGGUAGGCGGAAUGUAUGGUGUAGCGGUGAAAUGCUUAGAGAUCAUACAGAACACCGAUUGCGAAGGCAGCUUACCAAACUAUAUCUGACGUUGAGGCACGAAAGCGUGGGGAGCAAACAGGAUUAGAUACCCUGGUAGUCCACGCAGUAAACGAUGAUAACUCGCUGUCGGCGAUACACGGUCGGCGGCUAAGCGAAAGCGAUAAGUUAUCCACCUGGGGAGUACGUUCGCAAGAAUGAAACUCAAAGGAAUUGACGGGGGCCCGCACAAGCGGAGGAACAUGUGGUUUAAUUCGAUGAUACGCGAGGA